GUAACGAGCGCAACCCUGUCCUUAGUUACCAGCACGUUAUGGUGGGCACUCUAAGGAGACUGCCGGUGACAACCGGAAGAAGUGGGGAUGACGUCAAGUCAUCAUGGCCCUUACGGCCUGGGCUACACACGUGCUACAAUGGUCGGUACAAAGGGUUGCCAAGCCGCGAGGUGGAGCUAAUCCCAUAAAACCGAUCGUAGUCCGGAUCGCAGUCUGCAACUCGACUGCGUGAAGUCGGAAUCGCUAGUAAUCGUGAAUCAGAAUGUCACGGUGAAUACGUUCCCGGGCCUU
rnacentral:rRNA from 1 species